CAGUCGCCGCGGGAAAACGAAGGGUGCAAGCGUUACUCGGAAUUACUGGGCGUAAAGCGUGCGUAGGUGGUGGUUUAAGUCCGUUGUGAACGCCCUGGGCUCAACCUGGGAAUUGCAGUGGAUACUGGGUCACUAGAGUGUGGUAGAGGAUAGUGGAAUUUCCGGUGUAGCAGUGAAAUGCGUAGAGAUCGGAAGGAACAUCUGUGGCGAAGGCGACUAUCUGGGCCAACACUGACACUGAGGCACGAAAGCGUGGGGAGCAAACAGGAUUAGAUACCCCAGUAGUCCCUGUCUCUUAUAC
rnacentral:rRNA from 1 species